GCUUAGUUAUUCUAUCUCUGUGUUGUUCUGUUAGUAUUUCAGGCAGCAGGGAGGUCGGCUGGGGCUUAGUUAUUCUAUCUCUGUGUUGUUCUGUUAGUAUUUCAGGCAGCAGGGAGGUCGGCUGGGGCUUAGUUAUUCUAUCCAUGUGUUGUUCUGUUAGUAUUUCAGGCAGCAGGGAGGUCGGCUGGGGCUUAGUUAUUCUAUCCAUGUGUUGUUCUGUUAGUAUUUCAGGCAGCAGGGAGGUCGGCUGGGGCUUAGUUAUUCUAUCCAUGUGUUGUUCUGUUAGUAUUUCAGGCAGCAGGGAGGUCGGCUGGGGCUUAGUUAUUCUAUCUCUGUGUUGUUCUGUUAGUAUUUCAGGCAGCAGGGAGGUCGGCUGGGGCUUAGUUAUUCUAUCCAUGUGUUGUUCUGUUAGUAUUUCAGGCAGCAGGGAGGUCGGCUGGGGCUUAGUUAUUCUAUCUCUGUGUUGUUCUGUUAGUAUUUCAGGCAGCAGGGAGGUCGGCUGGGGCUUAGUUAUUCUAUCUCUGUGUUGUUCUGUUAGUAUUUCAGGCAGCAGGGAGGUCGGCUGGGGCUUAGUUAUUCUAUCUCUGUGUUGUUCUGUUAGUAUUUCAGGCAGCAGGGAGGUCGGCUGGGGCUUAGUUAUUCUAUCUCUGUGUUGUUCUGUUAGUAUUUCAGGCAGCAGGGAGGUCGGCUGGGGCUUAGUUAUUCUAUCUCUGUGUUGUUCUGUUAGUAUUUCAAGCAGCAGGGAGGUCGGCUGGGGCUUAGUUAUUCUAUCUCUGUGUUGUUCUGUUAGUAUUUCAGGCAGCAGGGAGGUCGGCUGGGGCUGAACUUGGACAUGAGAAGCCUUUAAAAAGCAGUGCCAAAUUUCUACUCCACAGCUUUUAAGCGAAAUUGGUUUCCAGUCAUCUGUUUUCAUGAGUAUAUCUGUAUAGUAUUUCACACGUGAGCAAUACAACAUUCUCUAUUAGGAGAGAGGAUGGAGGAAAUGAUUGGUUGCAAUAUCUACAGUUGGCACUAGAUGGCUGCAUAAUAUUCAAAUAAGCUUGAGAGGACUGAGUGAGAAAAUCUCUGAGCUGAGUCCAUUUGACAUUACAUUGAAGAUGUAAAACAUUCCGUUAUUAUGUGGAGGAAUCAGGACAGCUUAGCUUUAGUCAUUAGGAGUUUUGGGUCAUUGAAACCCAGAGCAGUGUAUUUGAAAAUAGUUGUCAUGGCCUUUCAUGCCCUCCUGCUUGGAAGACCCACUCACCAGUGUGAAGGAGAUGCAUCUUAUGAAGCACAAUUGGUCACCGCAUAAAGCCAUAAGCCAUAAGCCCUCCACGUGCCGUCAUUACAGCACACAAUAGUUAUUAUACCAUGGUGAAGAACAAUACUGUGCCAAUACCUGACUACUGUCAUUAUUAGAAAUGUAGUUUCACAGCAAGACGGAUGUAGUAAUACCACUGUGAGGGGAAUACUAUGUGGGAGUGGAGUCUACUAUGUGGGACGUAGAGAUGUAACUGUGUUCUGUCAUUAAAAAAGUCAUCAAUAGCAAUAUUGCCCUCUUUAAUGUGAUGAUAAUACAAUGGCAGACUGAGAGUACAUGGAGUGCUGAGUUAUGUGACAACCUGUAGGCCUGUUGGCUUGUUCACCGGGGUGGACCUAGGCCAGGCACUGUUCAGAUCCACUCAUCUCUACACAACACGGAUCUGUGAAGAAAUAGUAGAACUAGUAGUGUGUAAGUGCAGGUGAUCAGAUCAGAUCAGAUCCUCUCAUCUCUACACAACACGGAUCUGUGAAGAAAUAGUAGAACUAGUAGUGUGUAAGUGCAGGUGAUCAGAUCAGAUCAGAUCAGAUCCACUCAUCUCUACACAACACGGAUCUGUGAGGAACUAGUAGAACUAGUAGUGUGUAAGUGCAGGUGAUCAGAUCAGAUCCACUCAUCUCUACACAACACGGAUCUGUGAAGAAAUAGUAGAACUAGUAGUGUGUAAGUGCAGGUGAUCAGGUCAGAUCAGAUCAGAUCAGAUCCACUCAUCUCUACACAACACGGAUCUGUGAGGAACUAGUAGAACUAGUAGUGUGUAAGUGCAGUUGAUCAGAUCAGAUCAGAUCAGAUCCACUCAUCUCUACACAACACGGAUCUGUGAAGAAAUAGUAGAACUAGUAGUGUGUAAGUGCAGGUGAUCAGGUCAGAUCAGAUCAGGUCAUCUGAACAGUACCCUGCUCAGCUACACCUUAUGAACAACUCAACAGGUGUUAAACAGAGAAUAAACAGACAGUGCAUUAAAGUGCCAAAAUACAUUGUUAAACCAAAACUAUAGUCCGUACCAUGCUUUGGUGUUUCUCUGUGUGGGUCAUCUAAAAGAGCUGUGUCAUGCAGCGUCAUGCUCUCCAUGGGUAUGACGUAUUCACCUCAGCUCUCUCACUCUGAGACCAGCCCACAGCCGAACCCCCAGCUUCUCCUAGUUGAAUGUAGCUUUGACAUGAUGUAGAACUUUUAGACUUUGUAUUCCUUUUUGGAUGCUGUUGAUCCUGGCUGGAAUGGAGGGCUUGAUGGGGCUUGAUCCUGCUAUGUGAGGGACUAUGUCGUCGAGUUGGGUUUGUGCAUGUCGUCACAUGUCAACAGGUUAGACGGUCUUUUGAGUCCAGCCCCCCCCCCACCCCCCCCCAAAAAAAAGAACACCUUCCACUUCUGAACAAAGACAGGCUGUCAUUUUACUUUUCUCUACUGCAUAUACUGCUUUGUCAAGGGGACACAAUUUGGAAACAAUUUAUCAUAGUUAUAGAGAGAUGCUUUUGUCGUCCCCAUGAUCCUUCUGCCCCCUACACCUUGGAAAAGCCCAGAAAUCAUUGCAUGUUUAGAAGAUUGAAAUCCCAGAGGCUUGCGGUGGAGGGGUUUGUGUAGUUGUACUCUAGCUAAAGCUUAGGACCCAGGGCGGCCAUCUGUCCUUGAGGUAGCUCGCUCGUCCCAGCGCCCCAACAGUGGAAACCAUGGAAACAGUUCUACUGUUUGGAAUGAGGUCAUUUUACACCAAUCAGGAGUGCUGAAGCCUGUUGUGUCAUCGAGCAUCAAGGCGCUAAUACUUAAGUCUGUGACUGCAUGAACAGAAGUGAUUUUUAAAACCCUGUAGCUACAUUUUUUUGCUGAGAAAAAAUAAUAUAUUAAUAUAUACUAUGUUUUUGAGAAUGUACCAUGUUAUACUGUGAUUUAACUUAGAUAUUUUAUUGACUAUUGUAUUCAAUUUGAUCAUUUACAAAUUCUAUCAUUUAUCUAUACAGAAAUAUAUAUGUACAAAUAAAUAUAUACAUAUAUAUAUAUACACUGCUCAAAAAAACUAACGGGAACACUAAAAUAACACAUCCUAGAUCUGAAUGAAUGAAAUAUUCUAAUUAAAUACUUUUUUCUUUACAUAGUUGAAUGUGCUGACAACAAAAUCACACAAAAAUUAUCAAUGGAAAUCAAAUGUAUCAACCCAUGGAGGUCUGGAUUUGGAGUCACACUCCAAAUUAAAGUUGAAAACCACACUACAGCCUGAUCCAACUUUGAUGUAAUGUCCCUAAAACAAGUCAAAAUGAGGCUCAGUAGUGUGUGUGGCCUCCACGUGCCUGUAUGACCUCCCUACAACGCCUGGGCAUGCUCCUGAUGAGGUGGCGGAUGGUCUCCUGAGGGAUCUCCUCUCAGACCUGGACUAAAGCAUCCGCCAACUCCUGGACAGUCUGUGGUGCAACGUGGCGUUGGUGGAUGGAGCAAGACAUGAUGUCCCAGAUGUGCUCAAUUGGAUUCAGGUCUGGGGAAGGGGCGGGCCAGUCCAUAGCAUCAAUGCCUUCCUCUUGCAGGAACUGCUGACACACUCCAGCCACAUGAGGUCUAGCAUUGUCUUGCAUUAGGAGGAACCCAGGGCCAACCGCACCAGCAUAUGGUCUCACAAGGGGUCUGAGGAUCUCAUCUCGGUACCUAAUGGCAGUCAGGCUACCUCUGGCGAGCACAUGGAGGGCUGUGCGGCCCCCCCAAAGAAAUGCCACCCAACACCAUGACUGACCCACCGCCAAAUCUGUCAUGCUGGAGGAUGUUGCAGGCAGCAGAACGUUCUCCACGGCGUCUCCAGACUGUCACGUCUGUCACAUGUGCUCAGUGUGAACCUGCUUUCAUCUGUGAAGAGCACAGGGCGCCAGUGGCGAAUUUGCUAAUCUUGGUGUUCUCUGGCAAAUGCCAAACGUCCUGCACGGUGUUGGGCUGUAAGCACAACCCCCACCUGUGGACUUCGGGCCCGCAUACCACCCUCAUGGAGUCUGUUUCUGACCAUUUGAGCAGAAACAUGCACAUUUGUGGCCUGCUGGAGGUCCUUUUGCAGGGCUCUGGCAGUGCUCCUCCUGCUCCUCCUUGCACAAAGGCGGAGAUAGCGGUCCUGCUGCUGGGUUGUUUCCCUCCUACGGCCUCCUCCACGUCUCCUGAUGUACUGGCCUGUCUCCUGGUAGCGCCUCCAUGCUCUGGACACUACGCUGACAGACACAGCAAACCUUCUUGCCACAGCUCGCAUUGAUGUGCCAUCCUGGAUGAGUUACACUACCUGAGCCACUUGUGUGGGUUGUAGACUCCGUCUCAUGUUACCACUAGAGUGAAAGCACCGCCAGCAUUCAAAAGUGACCAAAACAUCAGCCAGGAAGCAUAGGAACUGAGUGGUCACCACCUGCAGAACCACUCCUUUAUGGGGGUGUCUUGCUAAUUGCCUAUAAUUUCCACCUGUUGUCUAUUCCAUUUGCACAACAGCAUGUGAAAUUUAUUGUCAAUCAGUGUUGCUUCCUAAGUGGACAGUUUGAUUUCACAGAAGUUUGAUUGACUUGGAGUUACAUUGUGUUGUUUAAGUGUUCCCUUUAUUUUUUUGAGCAGUGUAUAUACAUACAGGUAUAUAUAUAUGAGUUAAGUUUGGUACACUUGGAGGAAGUGUUAGAUGAUUAGUUUUAAAUGUUUUAGCUUUGUAGCAAUUCUAGACACUGAAAUCAUUUUGAAUUUGGAUACCUCCUAUAUGACUGUGAAGACAUUAGUGCCUGUGACAAAAAAAGAUGAGAAAAAAGUCUAAUCUCUCUACCAUCUACCUGUAUCUAAUAUAUCUAUCAGUCUGUCACUCUAACUGUUGUACUACCUAACAUUAUAUAUUUUUAUUCAAUCUCUCUCUCUCUCUCCCUCUCUCUCUCUCCCUCCCUCUCUCUCUCCCUCUCUCUCUCUCUCCCUCCAUCUCUCUCUCUCUCCCUCUCUCUCUCUCCCUCUCUCUCCCU